CACAAGCGGUGGAGCAUGUGGUUAAUUCGAAGCAACGCGCAGAACCUUACCAGCCCUUGACAUCCCGGUCGCGGAUCGCAGAGAUGCUUUCCUCAGUUCGGCUGGACCGGUGACAGGUGCUGCAUGGCUGUCGUCAGCUCGUGUCGUGAGAUGUUGGGUUAAGUCCCGCAACGAGCGCAACCCCCGCCUUCAGUUGCCAACGGUUCGGCCGUGCACUCUGGAGGAACUGCCUGUGACAAGCAGGAGGAAGGUGGGGAUGACGUCAAGUCCUCAUGGCCCUUAUGGGCUGGGCUACACACGUGCUACAAUGGCGGUGACAGAGGGAUGCAAUACCGCGAGGUGGAGCAAAUCCCUAAAAGCCGUCUCAGUUCGGAUUGUUCUCUGCAACUCGAGAGCAUGAAGUUGGAAUCGCUAGUAAUCGCGGAUCAGCUCGCCGCGGUGAAUACGUUCCCGGGCCUU
rnacentral:rRNA from 1 species